rnacentral:rRNA from 1 species
GAUGAACGCUAGCUACAGGCUUAACACAUGCAAGUCGAGGGGCAGCAUUUCAGUUUGCUUGCAAACUGGAGAUGGCGACCGGCGCACGGGUGAGUAACACGUAUCCAACCUGCCGAUAACUCGGGGAUAGCCUUUCGAAAGAAAGAUUAAUACCCGAUGGUAUAAUCAGACCGCAUGGUCUUGUUAUUAAAGAAUUUCGGUUAUCGAUGGGGAUGCGUUCCAUUAGGCAGUUGGUGAGGUAACGGCUCACCAAACCUUCGAUGGAUAGGGGUUCUGAGAGGAAGGUCCCCCACAUUGGAACUGAGACACGGUCCAAACUCCUACGGGAGGCAGCAGUGAGGAAUAUUGGUCAAUGGGCGCAGGCCUGAACCAGCCAAGUAGCGUGAAGGAUGACUGCCCUAUGGGUUGUAAACUUCUUUUAUAUGGGAAUAAAGUUUUCCACGUGUGGAAUUUUGUAUGUACCAUAUGAAUAAGGAUCGGCUAACUCCGUGCCAGCAGCCGCGGUAAUACGGAGGAUCCGAGCGUUAUCCGGAUUUAUUGGGUUUAAAGGGAGCGUAGGUGGACAGUUAAGUCAGUUGUGAAAGUUUGCGGCUCAACCGUAAAAUUGCAGUUGAUACUGGCUGUCUUGAGUACAGUAGAGGUGGGCGGAAUUCGUGGUGUAGCGGUGAAAUGCUUAGAUAUCACGAAGAACUCCGAUUGCGAAGGCAGCUCACUGGACUGCAACUGACACUGAUGCUCGAAAGUGUGGGUAUCAAACAGGAUUAGAUACCCUGGUAGUCCACACAGUAAACGAUGAAUACUCGCUGUUUGCGAUAUACAGUAAGCGGCCAAGCGAAAGCAUUAAGUAUUCCACCUGGGGAGUACGCCGGCAACGGUGAAACUCAAAGGAAUUGACGGGGGCCCGCACAAGCGGAGGAACAUGUGGUUUAAUUCGAUGAUACGCGAGGAACCUUACCCGGGCUUAAAUUGCAUUUGAAUAUAUUGGAAACAGUAUAGCCGUAAGGCAAAUGUGAAGGUGCUGCAUGGUUGUCGUCAGCUCGUGCCGUGAGGUGUCGGCUUAAGUGCCAUAACGAGCGCAACCCUUAUCUUUAGUUACUAACAGGUCAUGCUGAGGACUCUAGAGAGACUGCCGUCGUAAGAUGUGAGGAAGGUGGGGAUGACGUCAAAUCAGCACGGCCCUUACGUCCGGGGCUACACACGUGUUACAAUGGGGGGUACAGAAGGCAGCUACCUGGUGACAGGAUGCUAAUCCCAAAAGCCUCUCUCAGUUCGGAUCGAAGUCUGCAACCCGACUUCGUGAAGCUGGAUUCGCUAGUAAUCGCGCAUCAGCCAUGGCGCGGUGAAUACGUUCCCGGGCCUUGUACACACCGCCCGUCAAGCCAUGAAAGCCGGGGGUACCAGAAGUACGUAACCGCAAGGAGCGUCCUAGGGUAAAACCC